UUCCCAGGCCAGGGAUUGACCUUAAGCCACAGCAGUAACCCAAGCCAGCAGUGACAACACCGAGUCCUUAACUGCUAGGCCUCUAGGGAACUCCUAAAAUCUGCAUUUUAAAAUAGGGAAGCAAUCUAAAAAAAUAAAAAUAAAACAGGGAAGUGGAGAAAUGUUCUGAUUCUGCUUUUUAAUGGCUCAGAGCAAUGGCUUUAAGGACUGUCCCUCAAACUGCAUGUGAAUAUUCCUAGCCAGCCUCUGCUUUAUCAUACUUGGUCUCAGUAAGAUGAGACUUUAUUCCAGUUGAAUGGGUCAUCUUGCACACUGGCUGAGGGAAACUAUACACUGACAAAACUUCUGGAGUCCAGCAGCUGUAGGAGACAAGUAUAAAAUUGGAAAGCCUGAGAUUGGUCAAGGCAAGACCAGACCAGUGUGAGUUUAUUGAGGCAGGACGACUAUCAAAAAGGGGUGCAGAGAAGUCAGACUGAAAUCUGAUAGGAUAAGAUGGAGAAAACUUCAUUCAACAGAAGUCCUCAGAGGCAGGGCUCUGGCUUGUGAUGAGUGCAUUGACAAAUGAGUUGGACGGCGUUCUCAUCUUGAGACCCAGGGAUGAAGAUGCAGGUCCGGCCUAAGCUGGGAGAAAGGGAAGGCUUCACACAGCAUGUGAAAUUGAACUUUGAUUUACAUUGGACAGGACUUUCCAGAUCCUGAAGUUUCAGCUGGAUUUAAUACAGAUCACUUCAAUAAUUUGUCAAGAAUUUCCAAGAUCCCUGUUUACAGAUUAACGGAUUCAGCACAAUGGCAUCAGAAACAUUUUUAAAGAUCAAGAUGACAAGAUUUGUUUACCCAACUUAACUCACGUGAGCGUGUGCACACACACACACACACCUUUCGACUUUAUUUGGGGCUUUGUUUUUCAUUAUUUAAUAGUCCCUUGGGAUUUUCUAACUUGCCAUCUGUGUCUUUGAUUAUUUGUCAGAAAACCCAAAGGUCCAAGGCAUGUAGUAAUUUGAUAUUUUGUUGAAGCAUGAAUUUGAACUGCAGGGUUGGUGAGAACUAUAGUUUGUGGAGUAAAUUAUAUAUCUAGACGUGAGCUCAGCCUGAAGCUUAGUAUUUGUAUCUCCUCCUGGCUGUGCUUUGUACUCUUUGUCUUAGU
rnacentral:lncRNA from 1 species